GGCCGGAUGGUGUAGCUGGUUAUCACGUCAGUCUAACACUCCUAAAGUCAUUGAUGACUGAGCGGGUAUCACUGAAGGUCCUGAGUUCGAACCUCAGUCUGGUCA